UACGAAGGUCCCAAGCGUUAUCCGGAUUUAUUGGGUUUAAAGGGUGCGUAGGCGGCUUUGUAAGUCAGUGGUGAAAUAUGGCAGCUCAACUGUCAGGGUGCCAUUGAUACUGCGGAGCUUGAGUACAGAUGAGGUAGGCGGAAUUGACGGUGUAGCGGUGAAAUGCUUAGAUAUCGUCAAGAACACCGAUAGCGAAGGCAGCUUACUGGGCUGUAACUGACGCUGAGGCACGAAAGUGUGGGGAUCAAACAGG
rnacentral:rRNA from 1 species